rnacentral:rRNA from 1 species
GAUGAACGCUGGCGGCGUGCCUAAUACAUGCAAGUCGAGCGGACAGACGAGGAGCCUGCUCCUCUGACGUUAGCGGCGGACGGGUGAGUAACACGUGGAUAACCUACCUAUAAGACUGGGAUAACUUCGGGAAACCGGAGCUAAUACCGGAUAAUAUAUUGAACCGCAUGGUUCAAUAGUGAAAGACGGUUUUGCUGUCACUUAUAGAUGGAUCCGCGCCGCAUUAGCUAGUUGGUAAGGUAACAGCUUACCAAGGCAACGAUGCGUAGCCGACCUGAGAGGGUGAUCGGCCACACUGGAACUGAGACACGGUCCAGACUCCUACGGGAGGCAGCAGUAGGGAAUCUUCCGCAAUGGGCGAAAGCCUGACGGAGCAACGCCGCGUGAGUGAUGAAGGUCUUCGGAUCGUAAAACUCUGUUAUUAGGGAAGAACAAAUGUGUAAGUAACUAUGCACGUCUUGACGGUACCUAAUCAGAAAGCCACGGCUAACUACGUG